CCUACGGGAGGCAGCAGUGGGGAAUAUUGCACAAUGGGCGAAAGCCUGAUGCAGCGACGCCGCGUGAGGGAUGACGGCCUUCGGGUUGUAAACCUCUUUCAGCAGGGAAGAAGCGAAAGUGACGGUACCUGCAGAAGAAGCACCGGCUAACUACGUGCCAGCAGCCGCGGUAAUACGUAGGGUGCGAGCGUUGUCCGGAAUUAUUGGGCGUAAAGAGCUUGUAGGCGGUUUGUCGCGUCUGCUGUGAAAAUCCGGGGCUCAACCCCGGACUUGCAGUGGGUACGGGCAGACUAGAGUGUGGUAGGGGAGACUGGAAUUCCUGGUGUAGCGGUGAAAUGCGCAGAUAUCAGGAGGAACACCGAUGGCGAAGGCAGGUCUCUGGGCCACUACUGACGCUGAGAAGCGAAAGCAUGGGGAGCGAACAGGAUUAGAUACCCUGGUAGUCCAUGCCGUAAACGUUGGGCGCUAGGUGUGGGACUCAUUCCACGAGUUCCGUGCCGCAGCUAACGCAUUAAGCGCCCCGCCUGGGGAUCGGCCGCAAGGCUAAAACNGAAGAUGACGNUGAGACGNGCGAGACGACGACGAGGGAGAGG
rnacentral:rRNA from 1 species